UUGUACUGAAAACCCAAAAUC
rnacentral:piRNA from 1 species